rnacentral:rRNA from 1 species
GGCGGCUCGAGUGGUAACCGUUAUUAUUGGGUCUAAAGGGUCUGUAGCCGGCCGGAUAAGUCUCUUGGGAAAUCUGGCAGCUUAACUGUCAGGCUUUCAGGGGAUACUGUCUGGCUCGAGGCCGGGAGAGGUGAGAGGUACUUCAGGGGUAGGGGUGAAAUCUUGUAAUCCUUGAAGGACCACCAGUGGCGAAGGCGUCUCACCAGAACGGACCUGACGGCAAGGGACGAAAGCUAGGGGCACGAACC